rfam:Talaromyces stipitatus ATCC 10500 scf_1105507295523 genomic scaffold, whole genome shotgun sequence.
ACAUACGACCAUAGGGUGUGGAAAACAGGGCUUCCCGUCCGCUCAGCCGUACUUAAGCCACACGCCGGCUGGUUAGUAGUUGGGUGGGUGACCACCAGCGAAUCCCCGCUGUUGUAUGUU